rnacentral:lncRNA from 1 species
GUUUUUCACAAAAUUUACAGCUUUCUAAAUCUGCAUCACCCUUAUAAUACAACAUGCAACCAUCUUCACAAUAAUCAAUUCUCAUAGACAAGAGUCCUAUCUUAGAAAUCAAUAUUUUAGCCUUAUAGAAAUCUCCGGGUAUGUUGAAAGCUGGGUCAACUAGUUCACUCAUAAGGCCAAUGAAAGAAUCCAUUCCUGCUUGAGAAAUAUUGGUAUCUGAUUUGAUACUUAAUAAUCUAACUGCAACAGACAACUGAGAGUGCAUAC